AGCGCAGGCGGGAAGACAAGUUGGAAGUGAAAACCAUGGGCUCAACCCAUGAAUUGCUUUCAAAACUGUUUUUCUUGAGUAGUGCAGAGGUAGAUGGAAUUCCCGGUGUAGCGGUGGAAUGCGUAGAUAUCGGGAGGAGCACCAGUGGCGAAGGCGGUCUACUGGGCACCAACUGACGCUGAGACUCGAAAGCAUGGGUAGCAAACA
rnacentral:rRNA from 1 species